rnacentral:rRNA from 1 species
GACGAACGCUGGCGGCGUGCUUAACACAUGCAAGUCGAACGGAAAGGCCCUGCUUUUGUGGGGUGCUCGGGUGGCGAACGGGUGAGUAACACGUGAGUAACCUGCCCUUGACUUUGGGAUAACUUCAGGAAACUGGGGCUAAUACCGGAUAGGAGCUCCUGCUGCAUGGUGGGGGUUGGAAAGUUUCGGCGGUUGGGGAUGGACUCGCGGCUUAUCAGCUUGUUGGUGGGGUAGUGGCUUACCAAGGCUUUGACGGGUAGCCGGCCUGAGAGGGUGACCGGCCACAUUGGGACUGAGAUACGGCCCAGACUCCUACGGGAGGCAGCAGUGGGGAAUAUUGCACAAUGGGCGGAAGCCUGAUGCAGCAACGCCGCGUGCGGGAUGACGGCCUUCGGGUUGUAAACCGCUUUCGCCUGUGACGAAGCGCGAGUGACGGUAAUGGGUAAAGAAGCACCGGCUAACUACGUG